GUCUAAUACCGGAUAUGACUCCUCAUCGCAUGGUGGGGGGUGGAAAGCUUUAUUGUGGUUUUGGAUGGACUCGCGGCCUAUCAGCUUGUUGGUGAGGUAAUGGCUCACCAAGGCGACGACGGGUAGCCGGCCUGAGAGGGUGACCGGCCACACUGGGACUGAGACACGGCCCAGACUCCUACGGGAGGCAGCAGUGGGGAAUAUUGCACAAUGGGCGCAAGCCUGAUGCAGCGACGCCGCGUGAGGGAUGACGGCCUUCGGGUUGUAAACCUCUUUCAGUAGGGAAGAAGCGAAAGUGACGGUACCUGCAGAAGAAGCGCCGGCUAACUACGUGCCAGCAGCCGCGGUAAUACGUAGGGCGCAAGCGUUAUCCGGAAUUAUUGGGCGUAAAGAGCUCGUAGGCGGUUUGUCGCGUCUGCCGUGAAAGUCCGGGGCUCAACUCCGGAUCUGCGGUGGGUACGGGCAGACUAGAGUGAUGUAGGGGAGACUGGAAUUCCUGGUGUAGCGGUGAAAUGCGCAGAUAUCAGGAGGAACACCGAUGGCGAAGGCAGGUCUCUGGGCAUUAACUGACGCUGAGGAGCGAAAGCAUGGGGAGCGAACAGGAUUAGAUACCCUGGUAGUCCAUGCCGUAAACGUUGGGCACUAGGUGUGGGGGACAUUCCACGUUUUCCGCGCCGUAGCUAACGCAUUAAGUGCCCCGCCUGGGGAGUACGGCCGCAAGGCUAAAACUCAAAGG
rnacentral:rRNA from 1 species